rnacentral:rRNA from 1 species
UACGAAGGGGGCUAGCGUUGCUCGGAAUCACUGGGCGUAAAGCGCACGUAGGCGGACUCUUAAGUCGGUGGUGAAAUCCUGGAGCUCAACUCCAGAACUGCCUUCGAUACUGGGAGUCUCGAGUUCGGGAGAGGUGAGUGGAACUGCGAGUGUAGAGGUGAAAUUCGUAGAUAUUCGCAAGAACACCAGUGGCGAAGGCGGCUCACUGGCCCGGUACUGACGCUGAGGUGCGAAAGCGUGGGGAGCAAACAGG